rnacentral:lncRNA from 1 species
AGCAGCGGCAGCGGCAGCUUGGUCCUCUGACUCUCUUCGGUGACGGAUGGUGUUUCGCUCUUAUUGCCCAGGCUGGAGUGCAAUGACGUGAUCUUGACUCACCACAGCCUCUGCAUCCAGGAUUCAAGCUAUUCCCCUGCCUCAGCCUCCCAAAAUGCUGGGAUUAUAGGCGUGAGCCACCACGCCUGGCCAGCAUUCCCAAUUUUUAAAAAUGAAUGAUUGGCACAAAUCUUAGAAAGCCAUUUUCUGUAGAUUUGAAAGCAAUGCUAUUUACAUUGUUACUACUUUCUUGUUAAAUCUUGCAUGUCUGCAGUAUGUGUUGUAAUAGAAACCUAAGAUUAUGAUCUGCUGUAUUCAUAUUUGAAGAAGAAAAUUUCAGACUGUAUAAUCAACUAGUUGAUGAUUCAUAUUUGCUUGUACAAAGUUAAAAGUGUAACUUGCCAGAAAAGAAGGAAGCCUGAAAAGUAUUCUAAAUACAUUAAUAAGAAGGGUUCUACAUGAAUUAAUUUUUGUUUUGCCAUCUACAGAGUUCCUGCCACAUUCUAGGCACUUCAUAUUUGCUGCAACAUUUAUUCAGACAUUGACAGAACAAGAGAAACGAAGUUAAAUUUUAAGUACCAUGGAUUGAAAUUAAAUUUAGGGAAGAUAUUUUAUAGUAUGAAUUGUUCAUCUGUAUUUAACAAGGUAUUCAUUUAUUUUGGGCGAUUUAAGGAAGGUCCUUUCUGGAAACAGGAUUACAAACAUAUGGACCUAUUUAGUCAAUUUCAACCUUGUGAUUUUGAAUCUGACAGGUUCUCAGCUGCUUUUAUUAAAUAACGGAUUUUCUUAAUAAUUACUGUACUCAAACUUAGCAAAAAGCUCUAUUUAUAGCCCAGUUUUUUAGUCACACACUAUUGUGUCUUGUCAAAUUGAAACCAUAUACUACAUUCUUUACUUAUUAAGAUGGUCUUUCUUUGUAAUAAUUUUGGAGUAAAUAGUUUACUUAUCUAAACCUCUGAUUUCUGAUUUAACAGAUUUUUGAAGCAUUUAUUUUCCUUACCAUACAUAAAAAUUGUCAGUUGAGGACAAGGAAGGAUUAACCUGGACUACGGUGAAUAAUUGUUCAGGUUGCUUACUGUGUAACUCCAGAGGAGCAUUCACAUGGUACAAUUUGCAGAUUUAAGUAUUUAUUACAACCAUUUUCUGGCAGAUAACAGUGGAACACCCUGUUCUGUUAAAAUUAGUUUAUUAUGACAAAUUGCCUACAGAUGGACAUAAACUGUCUUGAGGAAGGGCACCUGCUUUGGACUGAAUCGUGUCCCCCCAAAAUCAAAUGUUGAAGCCUAAUCUCUAAUAUGAUGGUAUUUGGAGAUGGGGCCUUUGGGAGAUAACUAGGUUUAGAUGAGGUCAAGAGUGUGGGGCCUUCCUGAUUAGUACCCUGAAAAGAGAAAACACCAGAGAGCUUGCCCUCUCUCCCUCUUACCCCACAGGCACACAAAGAGGUCAUGUGAGUACACAGUGAGAUAACAACCACCUAUGAGAAAACAGAAGAGGCUUCAGAGUGAAAUCUACUUUGCUGGUACUGUAAUCUUGGACAUUAUUCUCUAGAACUGUGAGAUAAUAAAUUUAUCUUAUUUAAG